GACACUAAUUUCCAAGCCCGCCUCCCACAGUACGGCAGAAGGAGAGGCGAGGGAGGCUGGAAGGGAAAGAGAGAGGAGCGAUUGGCUUCGGAGCAACGGAUCGGUAGAAGAGGCUGCGCCUGAAAAAGAGGGAGGUGGACCGGCUGGUCCGAAUCCAUCUGGAGACUGGAGGGGCCCAAAGCGAAGUCAAGCCGAGGUCUUGAGGCUUAAGGAAAGUCAAGCUUAAUCAUAGCAGCACCCGCCGGCUGGGCUGGGUGUUUUGCUGGAAACACGGAAACUUUUAUCCUGCCAGGCAAGGAGGGGUGGAAUCAUUUGGGAUCGGUUUCGUCUCGGGGAAGGAUUUCCACGUGCCCGGACUGCCUCCUGCGGACUGGAGAGACAGAUAACUUUCAGAGAAUUUACAGUCUGAAGAACUCCAGACUGACAAACACCCAUUAGAAAACCCAACUCAACUGCAAGUGAGACUGCACGGUCACAAUAUCCCACACAGGAUUAGAGCCAAGCCCCAAAAUGAAUAGUCACUAGAGACAGAAUAUCAUUCCAUAUUUUCACACCAGAAGGGUAACCAGAUAACCAUUGAAUACUCACGGGGAAAGGAUGUUCCCCACCACCCUCACCUGUUCCAUACAUAACACAAGCCUACAAGAGAAGCAGCUUAGGGGACACCAUAGCUGGGGCUGCUAUCACUUUCCUGCUUGGGUCCCUGUGCCUCUCAGAAAUACAUGAUCAAUGAAAGGGGUGCAGGUGCUGUUCCACCCUGUGUGGCUAUGCAUUUGCUGCUCUGUACUCUGCUACGCCACUUACAGAGGCAAAGGAACCUUGCAGCUGUGUCCAGUUGCUGUAAUGCCAUCAAUACUCACUUCAGUAUUGAGACUGUUCAAUAAAAUCUGUGGCUGUGUC